AGGAGCCGUAUGAGGUGAAAAUCUUAUGUACGGUUCUAUAGAGGGAUAGGAAAUGUGACUUAUCUGUUGACUUUUCU
rnacentral:ncRNA from 1 species